rnacentral:lncRNA from 1 species
AGAGGCUCUGCAGUGAAACGUAGAGCUGGACCUCCCAGUGUGCACCUGGGGACUCAGCCUGACCACCUGUUGAAGGAUCACAGAAACGAUGUCAGUUCACGUCACUUCAACCAAUCAGAAGUUCCAUCCAUCCAUCCAUCUUCAUCUGCUUUAUCCGAGGCCGGGUCGCGGGGGCAGCAGCCUAAGCAGAGAAGCCCAGACCUCCCUCUCCCCAGCCACCUCCUCCAGCUUAUCCGGGGGAACACCAAGGCGUUCCCAGGCCAGCCGAGAGAUAUAAUCUCUCCAGCGUGUCCUGGGUCUGCCCCGGAGCCUCCUCCCGGUGGGACAUGCCCGGAACACCUCACCCAGGAGGCGCCCAGGAGGCAUCCUUGUCAGAUGCCCGAACCACCUCAACUGGCUCCUUUCGAUGUGGAGGAGCAGCGGCUCUACUCUGAGCCCCUCCCGGAUGGCCAAACUUCUCACUCUAUCUCUAAGGGAGAGGCCAGCCACCCUUCGGAGGAAGCUCAUUUCUGCCGCUUGUAUCCGCGAUCUCGUUCUUUCGGUCACUACCCACAGCUCGUGGCCAUAGGUGAGGGUAGGGACGUAGAUCGACCGGUAAAUUGAGAGCUUCGCUUUUACACUCCUGAGACCCCAGCUGUAAAACUCAGAAACCAGUCUUACUUGUUAUCAUCUAUCGUCCACCUGGGCCUUACACAGAGUUUCUCUCUGAUUUCUCAGACUUUUUAUCUGAUUUAGUGCUCAGCUCAGAUAAAAUAAUUAUUGUGGGUGAUUUUAACAUCCAUGUAGAUGCUAAAAAUGACAGCCUCAACAUCGCAUUUAAUCUGUUAUUAGACUCAAUUGGCUUCUCUCAAAAUGUAAAAGAACCCACCCACCACUUUAAUCACACUCUAGAUCUUGUUUUAACAUAUGGCAUAGAAACUGAAUAUUUAACAGUGUUUCCUGAAAACCCUCUGCUGUCUGAUCAUUUCCUGAUAACAUUUACAUUUACAAUAAUUGAUUACACAGCAGUGGAGAGUAGACUUUAUCAAAGUAGAUGUCUUUCUGAAAGUGCUGUAACUAAGUUUAAGAAUAUAAUCC